rnacentral:rRNA from 1 species
UACGUAGGGUGCAAGCGUUGUCCGGAAUUAUUGGGCGUAAAGAGCUCGUAGGCGGUCUGUCGCGUCUGCUGUGAAAACUCGGGGCUUAACCCCGGGCCUGCAGUGGGUACGGGCAGACUAGAGUGCGGUAGGGGGAGAUUGGAAUUCCUGGUGUAGCGGUGGAAUGCGCAGAUAUCAGGAGGAACACCGAUGGCGAAGGCAGAUCUCUGGGCCGUAACUGACGCUGAGGAGCGAAAGCAUGGGGAGCGAACGG